ensembl:snoRNA U3 Small nucleolar RNA U3
AAAAAUAAACUAUAUGUUCAGGGGUCAUUUCUAUAGUUCAUCACUGGAGAAGUUUCUCUGAACGUGUAGAGCACCAGAAACCACAAGAAGGAUAUGCAGCGUCCUCUCCCGAGUGUGAUGCCGGCUCGGUGUUGCUUCUGCAGCUGCCGUCAGCCACCGAUGAUCAUUCUUCUCUUCCUUUUGGAGAGUAAGAGGGAGAGAGUAUAGUCUGAGUGGU